AGAGUUUGAUCCUGGCUCAGAGCGAACGCUGGCGGCAGGCUUAACACAUGCAAGUCGAACGGGCGUAGCAAUACGUCAGUGGCAGACGGGCGAGUAACACGUGGGAACGUACCUUUUGGUUCGGAACAACUGAGGGAAACUUCAGCUAAUACCGGAUAAGCCCUUACGGGGAAAGAUUUAUCGCCGAAAGAUCGGCCCGCGUCUGAUUAGCUAGUUGGUGAGGUAAUGGCUCACCAAGGCGACGAUCAGUAGCUGGUCUGAGAGGAUGAUCAGCCACAUUGGGACUGAGACACGGCCCAAACUCCUACGGGAGGCAGCAGUGGGGAAUAUUGGACAAUGGGCGCAAGCCUGAUCCAGCCA
rnacentral:rRNA from 1 species